rnacentral:rRNA from 1 species
CCCUUAGAUGUUCUGGGCUGCACGCGCGCUACACUGAUGCGAUCAACAAGUUUUUCCUAUGUCGAUAGACACGGGUAAUCUUUUGAACUCGCAUCGUGAUGGGGAUAGAUUAUUGUAAUUAUUAAUCUUCAACGAGGAAUUCCUAGUAGGUGCAAAUCAUCAGUUUGCAUCGAUUACGUCCCUGCCCUUUGUACACACCGCCCGUCGCUGCUACCGAUUGGUUGAUCUGGUGAAUUAUUCGGACUGCCGGCUGAAGGGAUUUCCUCAUCUGCCAGCGGAAAGUCUUGUUAACCCUAUCAACUAGAGGAAGCAGAAGUCGUAACA